UUUCAUGGCGGCUUUGCGUGGGGCACUUUCGAGUGCGCCGGGUCUGUGUUCUCUACCGGUCUGCUAACCCGCGUCAAAGUCGCCACCCUU
rfam:Pseudomonas syringae pv. pisi str. 1704B contig7.29, whole genome shotgun sequence.